CCGCCGCGGUAUACGGAGGAUCCGAGCGUUAUCCGGAAUUUUGGGUUAAAGGGUCCGUAGGCGGGAUAAUAAGUCAGUGGUGAAAGUUUGUGGCUCAACCAUAAAAUUGCCAUUGAUACUGUUAUUCUUGAGUUAUUGUGAAGUGGUUAGAAUGUGUAGUGUAGCGGUGAAAUGCAUAGAUAUUACACAGAAUACCAAUUGCGAAGGCAGAUCACUAACAAUGAACUGACGCUGAUGGACGAAAGCGUAGGUAGCGAACAGGAUUAGAUACCCUGGUAGUCUACGCAGUAAACGAUGGUUACUAGCUGUUUGGCAUAAUUGAGUGCUGAGUGGUUAAGCGUAAGUGAUAAGUAACCCACCUGGGGAGUACGUUCGCAAGAAUGAAACUCAAAGGAAUUGACGGGGGCCCGCACAAGCGGUGGAUCAUGUGGUUUAAUUCGAUAGUGAACGGGGAACCUCACCCAGACUUGACAUCCCGAGAACUCUCUGGAAACAGAGAGGUGCCCGCAAGGGAGCUCGGUGACAGGUGCUGCAUGGUUGUCGUCAGCUCGUGCCUUGAGGUGUUCGGUUAAGUCCGUUAACGAGCGCAACCCAUAUCGUUAGUUAUUAUGUCUAGCGAGACUGCCUGAGUCAAUCAGGAGGAAGGUGUGGAUAACGCCAAAUCAGCAUGGCCCUUAUGUCUGGGGCUACACACAUGAUACAAUGGUCGGUACAAAGGGUCGCAAUGUAGCGAUACGGAGCCAAUCCCUAAAGCCGAUCUCAGUCCGGAUUGGAGUCUGCAACUCGACUCCAUGAAGUUGGAAUUGCUAGUAAUCGUAUAUCAGAUAUGGUACGGUGAAUAUGUUCCUGGGUC
rnacentral:rRNA from 1 species